UACGUAGGGCGCAAGCGUUGUUCGGAUUUACUGGGCGUAAAGGGCGCGUAGGCGGCGCGGUAAGUCACUUGUGAAAUCUCUGAGCUUAACUCAGAACGGCCAAGUGAUACUGCAGUGCUAGAGUGCAGAAAGGGCAAUCGGAAUUCUUGGUGUAGCGGUGAAAUGCGUAGAUAUCAGGAGGAACACCGGUGGCGAAGGCGGGAUCCUGGGCCAGUACUGACGCUGAGGAGCGAAAGCGUGGGGAGCAAACAGG
rnacentral:rRNA from 1 species